rnacentral:lncRNA from 1 species
GGGUAACUGGUACUUUGAUCAAUAUAGGAAACACCGACCUUUAUAAUUUAAGGAUAAGAGUCCUACGUGUUUGUGCAUGUUCUUGACGCUUGUAUUUGGAACUUAGUUGCAUUUAUAUCUUGCACGUAUUUUCAACAGUGACAACAUGCUUUUUUGACACUAGCGUGUACCAUGAUUUAAACCCAAAAAGAAAAGGCCCGAC